GUCGAGAAUUUUUCACAAUGGGGGAAACCCUGAUGGAGCGACGCCGCGUGGGGGAUGAAGGGCUUCGGCCUGUAAACCCCUGUCAUUUGCGAACAAAGCUCAUGAUUUAAAAGAUGAUGAGUUGAUAGUAGCGAAAGAGGAAGGGACGGCUAACUCUGUGCCAGCAGCCGCGGUAAUACAGAGGUCCCGAGCGUUGUUCGGAUUCACUGGGCGUAAAGGGUGCGUAGGUGGUGGGGCAAGUCUGGUGUGAAAGCUCGCAGCUCAACUGCGAAAUGGCACUGGAAACUGCCCUGCUGGAGGGUUGGAGGGGGGACUGGAAUUCUCGGUGUAGCAGUGAAAUGCGUAGAGAUCGAGAGGAACACCAGUGGCGAAGGCGGGUCCCUGGACAACACCUGACACUGAGGCACGAAAGCUAGGGGAGCAAACAGGAUUAGAAACCCGGGUAGUCC
rnacentral:rRNA from 1 species